rnacentral:lncRNA from 1 species
GAGAUCUAAUAUUAAAUAAUUUGGAGUCUUUUUUAGUAGAAUUUUAAUCUAUGUAUGAAAAAAAUGAUGCAAUUUGUAUUAUAACUAAUAGGAUCUAUAUCUUAUGAUAAGAUAAUUAAUCAAUAACAAUAUAUGCUUUACAAUUUUGACAACUUGCAAUGAUAUCAAGUGAAAUGAUACUGCAUUUGUUAGCCAAUUUUUCUACAGAUUAUAAUAUGAAGUAAAAAAAUUUGAUAUUAAAUUUAUAUGAUCUUCAAAAAUAAAGUCAAGCAAUUGACUUUGCUAUGAGAUGUGAUAAUUAACUUUUUAAAUUUUGAUUUGAGAGUCAUACAAGUACACCUUAAUGCUAUUAUAAUUCAAUGACAAUGCCAAUAUCUUUUCAACACAUAUAUUUGGAAGUAGAUGAUAUGCAAAUUAAUGUAAUAU